rnacentral:lncRNA from 1 species
AGAGAGUUCUUCAGAUCUUAGAGUUGAAACACGGAAAAUCAGAGAGAGAAAUCAGAGAAAUACUCCAUGAGCUAAAAGUUCUAUUGUUCCAUCAAUUCAUGUUAGGAGUUUGAAGCUUUUCCAACUCUGAAUCAAUUCUAGUAGAUCCUGGACCAAAUGGUUUAAAUCUAGAAUUUGUGGAGCUGGGCUUGAUCUAUUUGAUCUCAGUACUGUUGCACUGCUAAAGCUGAUUUGCUACUGUUAUUGACUGCUGAUCCCUCACAUCCUUUUUUCCCUUUUCCAUUUCCAGGUAUACUUCAGCUUUAUGAAUGCCAUUUGAAGUGUGAUUUGAAGCAGAAGUUCGACAACAUGAAAUAAAAUUUGAUUGAUUUUUGAAAUGCAUCUGUUCUUCCUUUAAUUCUACAAAUAACUUGUAUGUAGUUCAUAAUAACCUAGAAUAUGUUGUGUUCUCAUGAUUUGGUUAUUACGUGUUGAAAUCAAUGGAAUCAGUGGUAGUAUCUUACUCCUAUGUGUUUCAUGUUAGGCUUAUUUUUGAGUGUGAAUCCUAGCUGGUUUUGAAGCAUGAUAAAAUUUGAAUGUUGUUAUGAUUGGAUUUCAUGAUUAGAGCGAUCUAAACAGAUGUUGAGUUAUAGGUUAACAUACAUUGAGAUAUGAUAUUACAGGAAUGCAUGGUUUAGUUAUGUAAUAUCAGUUGUGUAAAUUCAAAUAGAUCAAAAUUUGAG